UUGGAGCGUUGUUAGGUUUGAGCCUACCCAGAUUAUUUUAUUCAUGAUGAAAUAUAAGGCGGAGAAUCGCUGUGUGAGAGGACAGAAGCUGAUCCGCCCCUGCCCCUCCCUGCCAGCCUGUGCUACCCGCUUUGGCUGGAAGGAUCAAAAGGAGGUUAUACCAAAGUGGUUCUGAGCCAGUGAAAAACAAAUUCAAGCUGCUAACAACAUAAUGAAGAUGAUGGGCUUCGUUGGGAAGAAAAUCAUGUUUGAUUUACUGCCGGAGCUGUCGUGACUACCAUUUCUGAGCACCUGCUGUCACCAAGGAUAGCACUAGAGUAUCUUCUUUUUACCAUUGUCAAAGAACUUGCUACACUUUCCAUACACCUGGCAUCGCUGCAUGAGGCCAUCCUUGACCAGUAUGUGGAGCUGACAAGUUCCAGACUUUUUCCUGCUGAAGAAGAGGCUGAGCAUGAGCAGAGACCAAAAAAACGGUGGCCAACAGUGACAGCACAGAAAAGGCCAGCGCUGCUCAACCCCGGGCUCCCCCUUCUGUUUCUUCUCCUGUCAACUUGGAAGACCCACCCCACCCACUCCUCAUAUAAUUGAUAGGGCACUGUCAGGCAGGUGGUGUAAGUGGUUUAUUUUAGAGAAGGUUAUUACUGGCCACAAAACUUCAAGUCAGCUAUUUUCAAGGACCCUUAGGAAGGAAGUGCCUGUUUAGGGUGUCCACCCUCGAAAGCCCAGGACAGAGGUCUUACUGUACUUCUGCACCCAACCACAUUUAAUCCAUUCAUAAGGCUCCUUUGUGAGAUGCCACAUCAGAGUAAACCAAUGUUGGAUAUUGCAAACAGCUUUGAAGAAUGUCUUUCCCUUAGAACUGCACAGUUCUGAGAGCAGAAUGGUGUCCCCACACAUUGUUAUGACUUGACAUCUCCAGUGUGAAAAGUUUCCAUCAAGCUAUGAUAAGAAAAGGCUGGGCUUUUUACUCUCGUGGAAACCACAGCAGAAGAAAGCCAUUAUGCUACCUCUUCACUUAGCCUCUUCCUGUAAAUACAAGUGCAUUAGAGAGAAACAGGUCCAAGUUUGGGGAAGUGAGUUGGUAACUCUUAAAAAUCAGGCAGUGAAAAACUGAAAGUUCAGUUUUACAAUGAGUGGUAAUGUGGACAACAGAAAGGGAACAUAUGUCUCACAGAGAGGAAGAUACUCUGUGACCCAGUGGUGAAUUUUAGAUUUUGAAUUUUUGGGAAUGAAAACAAAGAUUUAACUUUAAGAACUGACAUGCCAACUGUUUUGCUUUUUGUUUUGUAAUUAGGACACUGAGGAAAAAAAGACUAUCAUUUUAAACUUCAUCAUCAUCUUAUAACACAAAGGACAGUAUGACAUUAAAAAAUAAGGCAUAAUCUCACAAAGAA